AAUGCCACAGUGAUCAUUUGAUAUAUGGACCUGCAGCAGAGUUUAGGCCCAGACACGGCUAGUGACGUCAGACUGAACAACCGGAUAGUGUGAUUUGUAUCUGAGCUGGUUCCCAGUAAAGUCUGAACUGGGACUGUGUGUGAUGCAGAGAGACUUUAAACCAGAGCCAGACGUCGUCUACUCUUCACUGAAGUAGUCCACCAGUCCAACCACUGACGUCCAGCUGCUGGUCUCUAACUGGUCCCCCCAGCACCUCAGACCAGAGGACAUCCACAUGUUACAGAGAUUUUUA